rnacentral:rRNA from 1 species
UAGUCUGGUGCCAGCAGCCGCGGUAAUUCCAGCUCCAAUAGCGUAUAUUAAAGUUGUUGCAGUUAAAACGCUCGUAGUCGGAUUUCGGGGCAGGUUUGCCGGUCUGCCGAUGGGUAUGCACUGGUAGAACUGUCCUUCCUUCCGGAGACGGCGCCUACUCUUAACUGAGCGGGUGUCGGAGACGGAUCGUUUACUUUGAAAAAAUCAGAGUGUUUCAAGCAGGCAGCUCGCUUUUGCAUGGAUUAGCAUGGGAUAAUGAAAUAGGACUUUGGUGCUAUUUUGUUGGUUUCGAACACCGAAGUAAUGAUUAACAGGGACAGUCAGGGGCACUCGUAUUCCGCCGAGAGAGGUGAAAUUCUUAGACCAGCGGAAGACGAACCACUGCAAAAGCAUUUGCCAGGGAUGUUUUCACUGAUCAAGAACGAAAGUUAGGGGAUCGAAGACGAUCAGAUACCGUCGUAGUCUUAACCAUAAACCAUGCCGACUAGGGAUUGGAGGAUGUUCCUAUGUGACUCCUUCAGCACCUUUCGGGAAACUAAAGUCUUUGGGUUCCGGGGGGAGUAUGGUCGCAAGGCUGAAACUUAAAGGAAUUGACGGAAGGGCACCACCAGGAGUGGAGCCUGCGGCUUAAUUUGACUCAACACGGGGAAACUUACCAGGUCCAGACAUUGUGAGGAUUGACAGAUUGAGAGCUCUUUCUUGAUUCGAUGGGUGGUGGUGCAUGGCCGUUCUU